UACAGAGGGGGCAAGCGUUAUUCGGAAUUAUUGGGCGUAAAGAGCGCGCAGGCGGUCGUUCAAGUCGCGUGUGAAAGCCCCCGGCUCAACUGGGGAGGGUCACGCGAUACUGAUCGACUCGAAGGCAGGAGAGGGUAGUGGAAUUCCCGGUGUAGUGGUGAAAUUCGUAGAUAUCGGGAGGAACACCGGUGGCGGAGGCGGCGACCUGGGUUGACACUGACGCUGAGGCGCGAAAGCGUGGGGAGCAAACAGG
rnacentral:rRNA from 1 species